CAGCCGCCGCGGGAAUACGUAGGGUGCAAGCGUUAAUCGGAAUUACUGGGCGUAAAGCGUGCGCAGGCGGUUUGUUAAGACAGAUGUGAAAUCCCCGGGCUCAACCUGGGAACUGCAUUUGUGACUGGCAAGCUAGAGUAUGGCAGAGGGGGGUGGAAUUCCGCGUGUAGCAGUGAAAUGCGUAGAUAUGCGGAGGAACACCGAUGGCGAAGGCAGCCCCCUGGGCCAAUACUGACGCUCAUGCACGAAAGCGUGGGGAGCAAACAGGAUUAGAUACCCCAGUAGUCCCUGUCUCUUAUAC
rnacentral:rRNA from 1 species